rnacentral:rRNA from 1 species
AUUGAACGCUGGCGGCAUGCUUUACACAUGCAAGUCGAACGGCAGCAUGGGUGCUUGCACCUGAUGGCGAGUGGCGAACGGGUGAGUAAUGUAUCGGAACAUAUCCGCAAGUGGGGGAUAACGUAGCGAAAGUUACGCUAAUACCGCAUAUUCCCUGAGGGGGAAAGGAGGGGAUCCGCAAGGACCUUUCGCUUACGGAGUGGCCGAUAUCAGAUUAGCUAGUUGGUGAGGUAAAGGCUCACCAAGGCGACGAUCUGUAGCGGGUCUGAGAGGAUGAUCCGCCACCCUGGGACUGAGACACGGCCCAGACUCCUACGGGAGGCAGCAGUGGGGAAUUUUGGACAAUGGGCGCAAGCCUGAUCCAGCCAUGCCGCGUGAGUGAAGAAGGCCUUCGGGUUGUAAAGCUCUUUCAGCUGGAAAAAAAUCGCUUCACCUAAUACGUGGAGUGGAUGAUGGUACCAGCAGAAGAAGCACCGGCUAACUACGUGCCAGCCGCCGCCGUAAAAC